rnacentral:lncRNA from 1 species
GUGCUGUCAAGGUUGGGGGUUGCAAACAGCCCUCCCAGAGGCUCUCUACAGCAAUUCCUACCGUGGCUUCUUGCUCCCAUCUGUGGCCGCGGGGAAAAGCAGCUUCCCUCAAGCGCUCUUGCCUUGACCCCACUUCAGGAUCGACUACACAGGAGCUGAUGUGCAAUAGGACCCUAGAGCGGAAGGAAAACAAUAAGAGCAAAGAACAGGUGGUUGCAGCAUGGACUGUCUUAGGAGCAGAUAAGGCUGACCAGACGUGGGUGUGUUUGGAGUCCUCUUUUUCCAGUGAGUUGGCCCCUGGCCCGACUCUGGGGCAUGGGGAUGCAGUCCCUGCUGAGCAGUCUGCAGGUGAUCAGCUGUCCCAGGAGCUGAAGCGCGUAAAGAACGAGCUGGAGCAAGUGAAGAGUGAGCUUGCUGACAAGACUGCCCUGUGUGAAGUCUAUACCCAGAUGAUCUCCUCCUUGCAGCGUCAGCUCAAAGCAGCAGGUAUGUUCCGUCGCUGGGGUGAGCCCUGGCCCCUGGGCAGGCUGCAGGGCUGCUCCAGUGAUCUCUUGCCAGCAUAACUGGGGGCUGCCGGGUGGAAGGGACAAAGCUCGUGGCCUUCCCUGUGGAGGAAUUGCCCAGUGCUGGGAGCAGCAGUACUUGAUGCUCCUGUUGUUCCCCAGGAAUCUGUCUGGAAGAUGCACCAGUGGAGGAGAGUGGUAACUUGGGGAGAGACUGACAGCCAGCACGUGGGGACAGACUCACAACCGCCACUUGUCUGUCUGCCUGAGGUGCUGCGCCAGUGAUAUUUGUGGAGCUCUUGAAUGUAUGAAAUUUUAACUCCUUGCAUUUAAAAUAAAGGUAUCUUUUCCCAGUG